CGAAAAGAGUGAAAACUCGCUAAACCCUCUGUGAAUUUAUACCCUUUUGUUGCUUCGGCAGGCGGUCCCAGGGCGGGACCUCCAGGCCUCUUUUGGUGCCUGCCGAUGGCAUAUUAAACUAUGGUUUUAAUAAUGCAACUCUGAGUUAUAAUAAAAAUAAAUCA
rnacentral:misc_RNA from 1 species